rnacentral:rRNA from 1 species
CAGCGCCGCGGGAAUACGUAGGGCGCGAGCGUUAAUCGGAAUUACUGGGCGUAAAGCGUGCGCAGGCGGUUCGUUAAGACAGAUGUGAAAUCCCCGGGCUUAACCUGGGAACUGCAUUUGUGACUGGCGAGCUAGAGUAUGGCAGAGGGGGGUAGAAUUCCACGUGUAGCAGUGAAAUGCGUAGAGAUGUGGAGGAAUACCGAUGGCGAAGGCAGCCCCCUGGGCCAAUACUGACGCUCAUGCACGAAAGCGUGGGGAGCAAACAGGAUUAGAUACCCCGGUAGUCCCUGUCUCUUAUACA